ensembl:processed_transcript 4930555B11Rik RIKEN cDNA 4930555B11 gene
AGUUCAAGGCUCCGGGCUCCAACUGGAACCUGGCGUUGACCGCCUGGUUGCGACUCGCCUGGCCGCUGAGUUUAGCUGCGGGCUCCCUGCACCGGUAUCCUAAGGUCAAGUUUCCUAAAAAUCAGAAUCGAGGCAUGGGGGUGAAGAAUGCAGCUGCAACAAGAAGAUGUGUGAAGAUGAUGAAAAGUGCUUUUCAUACAACCUGGUCAUUCCUUCAGCCUGGUCCUUGGCAGACAACUCCUGAUGUUGCAUGGACCACCUACCCAAGGAUGGCAUCACUCAUAGUGAGCUGGGUUUUCCUUCAUCAACAAACAGUCAAGAAAAUGCUAGACCAUUUGGGUUCCAUAAUGAAGGUACCACCUCUUCCUUCAAGAAGACUCUGGUUUAUGUGCAGUUGACAAAAUCAACCCACACAUUAAUCAUCCAUUCCUAAACUUCGGUGGUUUCCAAUUUCAACCAUUUUCCUAAAUUUUGAUAGAUUCGAGGGGGGAGUUUCGUGAAUGUGUAGCAUAAGGGGUUGAACUUCUUUCAUUGUCUUCUGUAGUCAUGUUGCAGUUCUUAAUGUUUAAACAGAUGUCUUUGUGUUUUCAUCUUGCUAAAGACCAUCCAUGCAAAUUAGGUGGGCCAGUCCUCUUCAGACUGUCCAAGUGCUAGCUUCCCUUUCCUAUUGCAACCAUCCAUUCUUGGUUCCAUCUCUCAUGCCCCAGUGCAAUCCACAAGGCUGUUCACUGUGGUAUUAUUACUUGUGAUAACCACCUCAGCAUCCUGUCGGAGAGUAAGAACAUGCAUUAUUAUGGUGCUCAAAUUGAUUUGUCUAUAGUUAUUUGUCUAUAUCUUAGAGCAACAUGAGAGUUUUCAAAAACCUUACCCAGUGGAUAAUAUGCACUAUGAGAUAAGAGACAUAGAACACUAAAGUUGACAGUUUAAAAUCAAUUCCAUAAAAUUGCACGUGCUUUUCCAGGCCAGAUAUAAACAAUAGGCUACCUGUGCGCUAUUACACACAAAGAUAGCUUCUGGGGUGGCAAGGAGAUGUGAUGAAGAUAUGAAGGAGAAGUAAUAAAUAAUUGGGCAUGGUAGUAUUUACCUUUAAUCCCAGAACUCAGAAAAUAGAAUCAGGCAGAUCUCUAUGAAUCUGAGGUCUAUCUACCUACAUAGUGAGUUCCAAGCCAUCUGGGUCUAAAUAGCAAGACCUUAUCAAAAUCAAUCAGUCAAUCAAUCAACCAAUCAAAGUGUACACACACAUUCACACACAAAAUAAGAGAGUCUGUGGCCUCAUGAUAAUAACCUAUCAUGAAUAAGAGUGUCAUUAGGUUACCUCUGUGAGCAACAAAUAAGUUGCCCCAAAAGAAGAAAAAGAAUAAAAAUUUUU